rnacentral:rRNA from 1 species
CGGAGGGUGCAAGCGUUAUCCGGAUUUACUGGGUUUAAAGGGUGCGUAGGUGGGUAGGUAAGUCAGUGGUGAAAUCUUCGAGCUUAACUCGGAAACUGCCAUUGAUACUAUUUAUCUUGAAUACUCUGGAGGUAAGCGGAAUAUGUCAUGUAGCGGUGAAAUGCUUAGAUAUGACAUAGAACACCAAUUGCGAAGGCAGCUUACUACAUAGUUAUUGACACUGAGGCACGAAAGCGUGGGGAUCAAACAGGAUUAGAUACCCUGGUAGUCCGCGCCCUAAACGAUGGAUACUCGACAUCAGCGAUACACUGUUGGUGUCUGAGCGAAAGCAUUAAGUAUCCCACCUGGGAAGUACGAUCGCAAGAUUG